CUCUUUUGUUUGGAGUGGCAGAAGGGAUGUCUCCAGGCAUGUACUGGAAGUAGGGUUGUGCUUUUGUCAAAGGCCACAAAUGUGGACCUGGAGUGUCCGAUAACACGAGGCUUAAGCAGAGCAGCAGUAUUAAGACACCUGGUGUUUUGAUUGCUGUGGGAGGAUGGCAUUGACGGGGUGCCAGUGCCAUAGCUGGCACCAGCUAACCACUGCAUCUGUGCCCUGUGGAAUUGGUGUAUAAAGGAGGAGCGGAAUAUCACCCCAAGUGUGUGGGGCCUACCACUUUUUGCAUGAGAUCUCUGGUUCAGCUGUGUGGAGCCGUCAGGCAGCAGGGCCUGUGAAGCCUUGCUCUGGCACCAGAG